rnacentral:lncRNA from 1 species
UGCGGGGGCGCCUCUGCUCCGGUUCCGCCUCGUCUCCCUCUGCUGCUGCUGCGGCGGCAUUGAUCCUCUGCUGCUGCGUUGCGGUUCCGCUCCUCGCCUCUGUCGCUGAGGCAGAGGAUCCGUACCGCUUCUUCACCUGGAAUGUGACCUACGGCGACAUCUGGCCCCUCGGCGUCAAGCAGCAGGUCCGACUGCCGGCCAUUUCUUCUCUUUCCUUCCUCUUCCAUUGCUAUUGCUCGAUUCACAUCUGACGGAGUCUUCGUGUGCUCGGCGGCCGGGGGCGGCAGGGAAUACUGAUCAACGGCCUCUUCCCGGGGCCGCAGAUUGAGGCGGUGACCAAUGACAACCUGAUCAUCAACGUCCACAACAGCCUGACGGAGCCAUUCCUCCUCUCCUGGUCCGCCCCUCUCACCCGUCUUCUUCUCCCUUCCCCUUUGCGUUCUCUAUCCCCCUCUCCUUCGCUCUCUUUCUUUCGUUUAUUUUAGAUUUACUUGGAUCUGAGAUAGUACGGUUACCGUCUUCCAUCCCCAGGGGAGAGUAGACCGUCCCCCCCCCCCCGGCGGACGAACUAUGAUUCUGUCUUUUUUCGUAAUAGCCCUUAUAAAAUAUAUUGUAGACAAAAAGUCAUCAUUGCCUACUAAUUAGGAUAUCUGCACGGCGCAUCUUCUGCACAUGCCCCUGAUUUUCUGUCAGGAAAGUAUAUCCCACAAAAUAUGAAUUUAUCAGGGAAAAACUCUUUUUCUCGUUGAUGAGAGCAUUUAUCUUAUCUUAGAUAACCGCUGCCCAUUUUUGCCUGCUUUUCCCUUUCGAAAAACAUAUGUUUCGAGCCCUCAUUUAUGGUCGGGGUAGAAAAAGAAAAUCACCUCUCUAGGCAGGUGUUUUCGAGUGUGCCCUCAUUUAAUCUUGAGGACUUCUCUUGAACUUUUCUUUUGAUUUUUUUUUGUUUUCUCCAGAUGACUUCAUCCGCGUCCUUAAAUUUAGAAGUCCUGCCUCCUGCUGGAAAUAAAAUUAGGAAAGAAAAGUUUGAAGACUUAUUUUCGGGCGUUUAUCUAAAUAUUUUAGUUGUGUAUGUCUGUGUGAAUGCAUUCAAUCAAGAUGCCUUUUUAAACCUCGCCCCUCUGGGCGGGGCGGGGCGGCGCGGCGGGAAUCUGUAGAAUCCGGGAUGAGUCACGUGCGUGCGUCUCUGGCGUCUGCAACCCUCCGAUCGAGAUCUGACGGUUGACCAUGGCCCCCAUGUGCUGGAGGUCCUAGUGUGACCCAGCUAAGACCGCCGGCGGCGGUAUUUCGAUUGGCGGGGAGAGACAUCCGUCCAGCUGAGUUUCCCCGAAAAGACAUGCAAGUCGGGGACCGCACGUUUGGUGAUGGCCCCACCUGAUUAUUCGAUUUUCGAAUAUCCUUAAUGGGCUCAUUAAAUACGCAUGUAAACUGGCGUAAUCAAGCUGGUUUACAUGCCGCAUCGUGUGAUAUUUAUAUGCAUCCCUUUAUCUGAUCGAACACAAAAUAAUGGGAUUUUCCGAUUUUCCUCGGCAGUAUUGUGCGGAUCAUGAAGCGUGGCUAGAGCUGAGAACUACGUAGCAGUUCCAGAUUAGAUAUGAUCUUAGCAUCCCGUCUUUCCCAUGCCUGAUUGAGUUUCAAACAUCGUUCGGGCCUUCAUUGCAGCGUGGCAGAAAUCUUGGCCCGCUGAUGCAUAUUAUUAUUGCGCAGCACGCGCCGGCUAUGACGUAUUGCAGCUUUUAUCCUCGAUGAAGUUUUAUGACUGGUGGAUGAAUUUUCUAUGGAAGAGGGUUGCUUGAUGAAGUUUUAUUAUUCGCAUUGCUCUCGGGUGCUUUCAGGAACGGGAUUCAGCAGAGGAGGAACUCGUGGCAGGACGGGGUGCUGGGCACGAACUGCCCCAUCCCGGCGGGAGGGAACUUCACGUACGUGCUUCAGGUGAAGGACCAGAUUGGGAGCUACUUCUACUUCCCGUCGCUGGCCUUCCACAAGGCGGCGGGAGGAUACGGAGGCUUAAGAAUCCUCAGCCGACCCAGGAUCCCGGUGCCCUUCCCCCCGCCCGCCGGGGACUAUACCAUCUUGGCCGGCGACUGGUUCAAGGCCAAUCACACGGUCAGUCUAUCAAUGACUUAUCACACCCAUUUUUUCUUGUUUUCUAGCGUUCCCGGAAAUCUUAGCAAUGGGCAGUUUCAAUCACACACACACACACACACGCACGCACGCACACAGAGAAGUUUCCAGUCUUAGCAAUGGGCAGUUUCAAUCCUCUUAGGUUUAUUCUAAGCCUGCCUCUCUUAGCCAUACAAAGUUACUCUCUCUCUCUCUCUCUCGAUGUAUCCACAUAUAUUAUAUAUCUCAACAUCUAUAUAUGAAGUUUUGCAAUUGUAUCAAUACAGAAUUUCACUCUCUUUCGGUCGGUGUAUAUAUACAUAUAUUUGUCCAGAGAUUUCUCUGUGUUUACAGACAAUUUUCCUAUUUUGGCAAGCUUCUGUCCGGUCAUGUUGACGCACAUAGCGUGAUCUGACGGCGCGUCUCUUCCGCCAAUUCUUCAUAUUUCGUUCGCCACAUGAUGCUGUGGUUUGACCACAAGUCAUCGUCGGCGUGGGGUACGUGGCCCUGUGGGCUCAGUUUUUUGGUUUAGAUACAGAGCUCAAGUGGCCUAUUUUGUUGAAGCAGCUGGAGAUCUAAUCUCUACGCUUCAAUGCCUGAAUCUUGUGGCGAUCGGCUUCUUCAAUGCAUAAAUAAAUCCUUCUCGGUUUUUUUUUUCCCGAAUUGAACUGCUCUUGACACGCCUUCUUUUUCCAUAAAUUUCCUGCCUUUCUCUUCUCUGCCCUCUCUUCCUGUGGAUCGUAAGUCCUUGCCGUAACGUGGCCCUUCCUUUUACAGGACUUGAAGGCCCUGUUGGAUAACGGCCAGGACCUUCCCUUCCCAGACGGCCUUGUCAUCAACGGCCGCGGAUUGGGUGGGGGCUCCUUCACCGUGGAACAAGGUGAUUUUUUUUUAUGAGAAAGAAUUUGUCUUAUAAAUGGCAUUAUUUAUUUAUAUAAAGCAUCUGUCCAAGCUGGCUCGGUUUCCGACCCAUUCAUGAACUCAGCCUCCUCCGUUAAUUUGUUGAAGGAGACAAAUAUUUUUGGCCCUAUAUUCCCGGAAUAUGCUGACUAAAUAUGGCAAUUUAUGUAGGUAAAACGUACAGGUUCAGGAUAUCGAACGUGGGGUUGACCCAGUCCUUCAACAUCAGAUUCGAAGGGCACACGAUGAAGCUGGUGGAGGUGGAAGGGUCCCACACCCUCCAGAGCUCCUACUCCAACCUGGAUGUCCACGUGGGCCAGUCCUACUCGGUCCUCGUGACGGCCGACCAGCCCCCCCGCGACUACCACAUCGUCGUCUCCAGCCGCUUCACCAGCCCCGUCCUCGCCACCACCGCCGUCCUCCGCUACGCCAACGGCGGCGCCGCCGGCCCCCCCGGCCCACCCCCCGGUGGGCCCACCAUCCAGAUCGACUACUCCCUCAACCAGGC